UGCCAGCAGCCGCGGUAAUACGGAGGGGGUUAGCGUUGUUCGGAAUUACUGGGCGUAAAGCGCACGUAGGCGGAUCGGAAAGUUGGGGGUGAAAUCCCAGGGCUCAACCCUGGAACUGCCUCCAAAACUAUCGGUCUAGAGUUCGAGAGAGGUGAGUGGAAUUCCGAGUGUAGAGGUGAAAUUCGUAGAUAUUCGGAGGAACACCAGUGGCGAAGGCGGCUCCCUGGCCAAAGACUGACGCUCAUGCGCGAAAGUGUGGGUAGCGAACAGGAUUAGAUA
rnacentral:rRNA from 1 species